GACGUAGGGGGCAAGCGUUGUCCGGAUUUAUUGGGCGUAAAGAGCGUGUAGGCGGCUUGGCAGGUCCGCUGUGAAAACUCGAGGCUCAACCUCGAGACUCCGGUGGAAACCAUCAGGCUAGAGUCCGGAAGAGGAGAGUGGAAUUCCUGGUGUAGCGGUGAAAUGCGCAGAUAUCAGGAAGAACACCCGUGGCUAAGGCGGCUCUCUAGUACGGUACUGACGCUGAGACGCGAAAGCGUGGGGAGCGAACAGG
rnacentral:rRNA from 1 species